rnacentral:rRNA from 1 species
UACGAAGGGUGCAAGCGUUACUCGGAAUUACUGGGCGUAAAGGGUGCGUAGGUGGUUUGUUAAGUCUGCUGUGAAAUCCCCGGGCUCAACCUGGGAAUGGCAGUGGAUACUGGCAAGCUAGAGUGCGGUAGAGGGUAGUGGAAUUCCCGGUGUAGCAGUGGAAUGCGUAGAGAUCGGGAGGAACACCAGUGGCGAAGGCGGCUACCUGGACCAGCACUGACACUGAAGCACGAAAGCGUGGGGAGCAAACAGG